rnacentral:rRNA from 1 species
UGAGUAAUGUCUGGGAAACUGCCUGAUGGAGGGGGGAUAACUACUGGAAACGGUAGCUAAUACCGCAUAACGUCGCAAGACCAAAGAGGGGGACCUUCGGGCCUCUUGCCAUCAGAUGUGCCCAGAUGGGAUUAGCUAGUAGGUGGGGUAACGGCUCACCUAGGCGACGAUCCCUAGCUGGUCUGAGAGGAUGACCAGCCACACUGGAACUGAGACACGGUCCAGACUCCUACGGGAGGCAGCAUG